rnacentral:rRNA from 1 species
AGUAGCGGCGAGCGAACGGGGAGCAGCCCAGAGCCUGAAUCAGUGUGUGUGUUAGUGGAAGCGUCUGGAAAGGCGCGCGAUACAGGGUGACAGCCCCGUACACAAAAAUGCACAUGCUGUGAGCUCGAUGAGUAGGGCGGGACACGUGGUAUCCUGUCUGAAUAUGGGGGGACCAUCCUCCAAGGCUAAAUACUCCUGACUGACCGAUAGUGAACCAGUACCGUGAGGGAAAGGCGAAAAGAACCCCGGCGAGGGGAGUGAAAAAGAACCUGAAACCGUGUACGUACAAGCAGUGGGAGC